CUGACUUGGGAAAGGCUGCAAUUCUGCGGCGCUAGGCAGAGCAAGGCCUCGGCAUCGGGCCACGUGCCACGGGCUGGAAGAAAUGGAAAUUCUCAAUCGGUUGUGACUCAGCAGUGAAUCCGGGCGGCUAGAAAGAGUGACGAUUAUUUUAACAAGCAACUGGACUCAGAAGUGAGGGUCUGAGCGCAAACACUCCGGAGUCAGAGACGAAAGAUGAAUCACUGAGGAAAAUCUGGAAAAGGCAACCCUGACUCAAGUUUUAAAAAUAAGAUCCUACCUGAUUUCUCUCGUGGAGGUGGCCGCCCCUGGAGAAGACAUCUCACAGAAAAGGCCCCGGAGCCUCGGCUCACUGGGGACUUCCAGGUAAGCUGCCAGGAGCCUUCAGGGCACUGAAGGCCAUUCCCGU
rnacentral:lncRNA from 9 species